rnacentral:lncRNA from 1 species
UCACAUAUAAGGAAGGAAAAUGUGGAAAUGAACAGAAAAAGCUAAUUAAGUUGAUGAUGAAUUGGAUUAGGUACCAUAAGAGUAGAAGAACGAGAACGGGAGGAAGAAGAGAGGAAGAGGCGCCAUGGCCUACAGGCGAUGAGGAUGAGGAGGAGGAGGAGGAGAAGCAGCAUAAGGAGGAGAAUAGCGACAAUGGUGUGAAGAGAAGGCGCCAUCAUCAUCGCCUCUUUCUCUCUCUCACGCAGAUUACCGAUUGGACCAAAUCUCGCGAUAACUUCGCUUUGAAAAUGGCCGCACUUCCUUCCCAUAAUCGCAUUUCACUUCUCUCUCCCCCCCCUUUCCGCCACCUUCUCCUCCUUGCUCCGCUCGCC